GCGCGAGUGGCGGAAUUGGUAGACGCGCUGGCUUCAGGUGCCAGUGUUCGCAAGAACGUGGGGGUUCAAGUCCCCCCUCGCGCACC
rnacentral:tRNA from 1 species